rnacentral:rRNA from 1 species
GGAGGGGGCGAGCGUUAUUCGGAAUUAUUGGGCGUAAAGGGCAGGUAGGCGGCUUUGCGUGUCCUCUGUGAAAGCCCUCGGCUCAACCGAGGAAUUGCAGGGGAAACUGCAGAGCUUGAGUCCGGGAGAGGCUAGUGGAAUUCCCAGUGUAGCGGUGAAAUGCGUAGAUAUUGGGAGGAACACCAGUGGCGAAGGCGGCUAGCUGGACCGGUACUGACGCUGAUCUGCGAAAGCUAGGGGAGCAAACGGGGGAUUAGAUACCCCGGUAGUUCUGGCUGUAAACGCUGAGCACUUGGUGUGGCGGGUAUCGACCCCCCUGCCCGUGCCGGAGCUAACGCAUUAAGUGCUCCGCCUGGGGAGUACGGUCGCAAGGCUG